rfam:Glycine soja cultivar W05 scaffold198_10, whole genome shotgun sequence.
UUCUUAUUGGAUGAUAACUGUCACAUAUCAUGUUCUGAAUGGAUGUCAACUCCAUGAAAAAUGAAAUGCAUUGUUGUUUUCAUUAACUAAUCAGAACAUGACACGUGACAGUCAUCAUCC